CGCGUCCUGGACGCGUAGCCUGGAGCUCUUAAGAUAAUAUCCGCGCAAUCAUAUUCCCCACUUUUUUUUUUUUUUUCUUUCCUUUCUCUUAUCCAUUUAACCUAAGUCUCACCCAAUAUUUAGUAGAAGAGUUUUUUUUUUUUUUUUUUUCUUGACAAUAAAGUAAUCAGUAUUCAUUUAGCCCCACUAGUUUGAUCAUUAGGAUUUUCUGAAAGCGAAUGUUUUGAUCAUAUAACCAGCGCGGGGAGCAGAGUGGCGGGCGGCUGUAUGUUUGAGUCGCCGCACAUACAUACAUACAUACAUACAUACAGUGGGAGAGAACGUGGUGCACUUUCCAAAAGUAGCGGUAUGCAGGAACCGAUAACUUAGGUAUUCACAGAAUUGAUUCCUUGGGCUGGCGGAUCCGUCGAAACCGGUUCCGGAACAGGUGCCGAGGGGAAUCGUAUAGAGCGCGGUGCCCGAGUCUUGGAGCCACCAGCGCGGGGGUUGAGUACCAGUCUUGGAGCCGCCAGCGCGCUGCUUAGACGGUUAUCAGGCGGAGCCGGUUCCGGAAUCGGUUCUAUGGGGAAUUGUGUAGAGAGCACGUUACUACACUGGAAUUUUCUAAACGCAGUGCAGCACGCAUAGAAAAGAUUCAGGAACAGGAGUAUCUGAGUGAAAUCCGUCUCUGGGAUAGCGAAGUGCGAAGAAACAAGUAUAUCAAUGGAUCGUCAAGAGCGGCAACUCGCUACAUCACCUUCAUGGCUCGCUACCUAGAUGACCUCAAGAAAGCACAAGGCCAGCUGCAGGAAGAAAUAAGUAUUCGGGGAAGGUGGAGAAUGUUUGCCCCGUGAGCUCCUGAAUCCUCACGUGUUCUGGCAGGAACUUGCAGGCCCAUCGCUCUAAUACAUAUGCAGCCACGAGACCAUCAUUCUGCGGCAAAACCUACGAAAUACGUGUGCCAGAGGAAUCUGAGGAUGAAAAUAUGGAGUGUGAAGAUGAAGAAUAUGAUGGUGAGAAGGAUUUGGAAGGGCUCCAUUACGAGGAUGAUACAGAUGAUGAAGGAAGUGAGAAUGAGGAGGUCCAAAGCACCUCUGCUGGAAGAAAGAAAGUAAACAGAAGAACUAUAUGGAGGAGUAAGGAACCAAAGAAAUUCAAGUGGAGUUAUAAAAUCUUUUUCUCAGGGAUUGAUGGUUUAGUAUACAACUCUAAAAUUCCUGUUCCAGGUCAACCAAAUAUGAAAGUUUCUGGUAACAUUGCCCUUGAUCUCCUCCAGCCAAUACCAAAAGGGAUAUGUUAUAAAGUAUACUUUGAGAACUGGUUCAACAUCCCCCUUCUGCAAAUAACACUUACGUAAACAUUGUUUUGGUUCACUUGGGGCAGUUAAACUGAAUCGUGUUUCUGGUUGCACCAUGCCUUCUGAUUUUACAGAUAAAGUCUGGGCGUGGUACAAGUGUCAUUAAAGUGACAGAAAAGGAUGAUGUAGAACUAAGGGUAGUAAAGGCAUGAUAAAAGAGGGGUAAAAAUUAUUAGUAAUUUUGCUGCCCUAGAGCCACAAAGUACAGUUAAAAGGUAAUACUCAAAGGCAAAGCAAUACAAAGAUAUAUCAUAUCCCUCAAUUGUCAUGCUCUAUAACAAGGUCAUGGUUGGGGUCGACCUGCUUGAUUCCCUCUCAGCCCUGUACAAAAUUUGCCUAAGGUGCAAAAAGUGGUACCACAAACUGCUUUGGCACUUUGACAUGAUGUUCAUCCAAGCAUGGCAAUUGUACAGCAGAGAUUAUGAGCUGAGCAGUGCCCCAGGAAAAAAAAGAAAAAUCCUCUUCUAAAGUUCAAACUAGAAGUAGCAGACUGCUUACUCCUAAAAGAUAAAACAUAUCGAACAAAAAGAGGAAGGCUUUUUAAUUCAGUGGAUGUUGAUGAGCUAUUCAAAGAGGGUCCAACACUAAAAAUACCAGCCAAACAAGUAAGGACUUGUAUGUUUGGCCACUUUCCAGAAUAUGGAGAAAAAAAAAGGGACGGUGCAAGAAUCUAAAAUUUUCUGGAAUCUGCAAUGUGUUCUGUUGCAAAUGCAAAGUGAACAUGUGUCACACCCACAUCUAACUGUUUCAUGAAGUUUCACCUAUAGGUAAAGUAAUUUCGAUAUGUGAUAAAAAAAAAAAAAAAAACCUACAGUAGCAGUUCUUUGCCAUUGGUUACUACAAUGCACCACCCCCCAUUGGUGCAAGAGAUUCUCAUUAACUUUUAGAAUUAAUAUAAUUUUAAGUAGUUACCUAUGUGCCAACAAUUUUUAUGUAUGGUCUCAAAUGAAAUACAAUUUUGAAUUAUGAAUGGAGUAUUGUAAUAAUCAGUGCCAAAGAACUGCUACUGUAGGUUUUUUUUUUCUUUUGCUGGCUUACUGAGGAAACUAAACAUUGUUUGAUAAAGGUGCGUCCAUUGCCAGAAAGAAUGUUUUUUUUUUUUUUUUUUUUUUAUACAUAGUUAUGAUGGAAAUAUUCAGUGAUAAAAGAAGUGCCUGUCUGUUGUGUUUAGGAUGAAAGUUUUCCUUACUGACUGAAGAAACUUUGUACCAAAGAAUUGCCAGUCAGUUAUUUUCAAACAAAACAUUAUUACUUUGUAAGAAAGAGGUAUUUUCAUAGCAAUAAAAUGUGUUAUUUUUACAUGUAGAGUAUAAUGUAGCUGUGAAGUAUAAUGUAGCCCUGGAAUAACAUACCUGUAA